GGUGUUGUGGUCUAGUGGAUAAGUCACCAGACUGCAGAUCGCAAGGUACGGGAUUCAAGUCCCGCAGCACUA
rnacentral:tRNA from 1 species